rnacentral:rRNA from 1 species
UACGUAGGGCGCAAGCGUUGUCCGGAAUUAUUGGGCGUAAAGAGCUCGUAGGUGGCGUGUCGCGUCUGCCGUGAAAGCCCAUGGCUUAACUGUGGGUCUGCGGUGGAUACGGGCAGGCUGGAGGCUGGUAGGGGCAAGCGGAAUUCCUGGUGUAGCGGUGAAAUGCGCAGAUAUUGGGAGGAACACCUGUGGCGAAGGCGGCUACCUGGACAGUGACUGACGCUGAGGCGCGAAAGCUAGGGGAGCGAACGGG